rnacentral:rRNA from 1 species
CCCUUAGAUGUUCUGGGCCGCACGCGCGCUACACUGAUGCAUUCAACGAGCCUAUCCUUGCCCGACAGGUCCGGGUAAUCUUUGAAUCUGCAUCGUGACGGGGAUAGAUUAUUGCAAUUAUUAAUCUUCAACGAGGAAUGCCUAGUAGGCGCAAGUCAUCAGCUUGCGUCGAUUACGUCCCUGCCCUUUGUACACACCGCCCGUCGCUCCUACCGAUUGGGUGUGCUGGUGAAAUGUUCGGAUCGGCCGUUUGUCGCGGUUUCCGCGUCAUGUGGCUGAGAAGUUCAUUAACCCCUCCCACCGAGAGGAAGGAGAAGUCGUAACA